GACAGAGGGUGCAACCGUUGUUCGGAAUUACUGGGCGUAAAGAGCGCGCAGGCGGUCGAUCGAGUCGAGUGUGAAAGCCCCCGGCUCAACUGGGGAGGGUCAUUCGAUACUGAUCGACUCGAAGGCAGGAGAGGGUAGUGGAAUUCCCGGUGUAGUGGUGAAAUGCGUAGAUAUCGGGAGGAACACCAGUGGCGAAGGCGACUACCUGGCCUGUUCUUGACGCUGAGGCGCGAAAGCUAGGGGAGCAAACGGG
rnacentral:rRNA from 1 species